AUGGCUGCGCCGGCGAGCGAGGACGAAAGCAAGGACGUGGACGCCUUCCUGUCGUCGUGCGCGGCGUCGGGCGAGGCCGCGUAUGCCGCCGCCGAGGCCGUGCUCGAGCGCCUCCAGGCCCGCGCCUCCCGCGCCGCGGCCCGACGCCUCCUCGGCGCCGUCCGCCGCCGCUUCGACGCCGGGCAGGAGCACUGCUUCCUCACCUUCCACUUCCGCGACGUCGUCGUCGACCCCCACCCCCAAGGGUUCCAGCAAAGCACGAAGCUAACAAUGAUGGAGAUACCUAGCAUUUUCACUCCUGUGGAUUGGUCCUUCGCUUUUUAUGAGGGCCUUAAUCAGCAUCAAGAUUCCACUUCCAGGGAUAAGACGUAUGCAGAGCUGGGGUGUGGCAAUGGUUGGAUAUCUAUUGCGCUUGCAGAGAAGUUGUCCCCUUUGAAGGUCUAUGGUCUGGAUAUUAACCCAAGGGCCAUCAAGAUUGCAUGGAUAAAUCUGUACUUGAAUGCCCUAGACGACAAUGGUCUCCCGGUCUAUGACAGGGAGGGAAAAACAUUGUUGGAUAGAGUUGAAUUCCAUGAAUCUGAUCUUCUUUCAUACUGUAUAGAUAACAAGAUAGAACUUGAUUGCAUUGUUGGCUGCAUACCACAGAUUCUUAACCCCAAUCCAGAGGCAAUAUCAAAGAUUAUGACUGAAAAUUCAAGUGAGAAGUUCUUGUACUCCUUGAGCAACUACUGUGCUCUUCAGGGUUUUUUUGAGGACCAGUUUGGCCUCGGGUUGAUUGCUCGGGCAGUUGAAGAAGGAAGAGCUGUCAUAAAGCCUAUGGGUAUAAUGAUAUUCAACAUAGGAGGCCGACCAGGUCAAGGUGUCUGUGAACGCCUAUUUCUACGCCGUGGAUUCCAUAUCAGUAAGCUCUGGCAAACAAAAAUUAUGCAGGCUGCCGACACUGAUAUUUCAGCUUUAGUUGAAAUUGAACAAAACAGCCCACAUCCAUUUGAAUUUUUUAUGGACCUUGUCGGGGAUCAGUCUGUCUCUGCACGCACAGCCCAGGCAUACAUGAAAUCUGGUGGCCGUGUUUCACAUGCUUUGUCUGUGUAUAGCUGUCAACUUCACAAACCCAUUCAGGUGAAGAAAUUAUUUGAGAUUCUUAAAGAUGGGUUCAAUGAAAUCAGCAGCUCCCUUGAUUUGUCCUUUGAUAAUGAUUCGGUUGCUGCUGAAAAAAUGGCCUUCCUAGUAUACCUUGCUAGUUUUUUGAAAGAGAAUAAGUCCAAUCCUUGUGAGCCUCCAUUUGGAUGUUUAAACUUCCGGAAUCUUGUUGCUGAAUUUAUGAAGAGCUACUACAACAUCCCAUCAACUUCUGAUAAUGUUGCUGUAUUCCCUUCUCGUGCUGUUGCCAUAGAAAUUUCUCUUCGACUGUUCUCACCGGCGCUUGCAAUUGUGGAUGAACAUCUGACCAGACACUUGCCGAAGCAAUGGUUAACAUCCUCAGCAAUUGAGGGAAGAGCAGAUUGUGACCGUGCUAAAGACACAGUCCUUGUAAUUGAAGUACCACGCCAAUCAGAUUUGCUGAUUGAGUUGAUCAGGAAAUUGAAGCCUCAGGUGGUUGUUACUGGCAUGGCUAAGUUUGAGGCUAUCACCAGUGCUGCUCUUGUGAAUAUACUAAGUGCAACAAGAGAUGUUGGUUCGUGGCUGUUCGUAGAUAUUUCAGAGCAUCUGGAGUUGUCUAGCCCGCCAAAGUCUAAUGGUGUGUUGAAGUAUCUUGCUGAGAACACCCUACCUUCGCAUGCAGUUAUACUCUGUGGUCUAGUAAAGGAUCAGGUUUAUUCUGAUCUGGAAGUUGGUUUUGCCAUAUCUGAGGAUGAAACUGUCUAUAAGGCGUUGUCACGAACUAUUGAGCUAUUGGAAGGACAUACUUCUGUGAUCAGCCAGCAGUAUUAUGGCUGUCUUUUUCGCGAGCUACUGGCGUUCCAAAUUGACAACCGGCAUGCACAGCGAGAGAGACAACCUGCAGAAGUGAUACCUCAGAAGAUGAUAGGAUUUUCUAAUUCAGCUAUGUCAGCCCUAAAAGAAGCUGAAUUUUUCGUUCCUGAUUCCAAGGAAUCUAGUAUCAUUCAUAUGGAUCUAGACCGCAGCUUCUUGCCAGUACCUUCUGUGGUGAACACUUCCAUUUUUGAAAGUUUUGUUAGGCAGAACAUCACGGAUUCUGAAACUGAUGUUCAUUUCAGCAUUAAAAAGCUGGUGAAACAUUACUAUGGUGGUUUCCCAGGAGACCGUUAUGCUGACAGGUUAGAUGGCUUCGGUACCUUCUUUUUCCCUUUGGGCACCAAUGGGCACUAUGUCUCAGCAGCAAAGUUUAUGAACGCAAACAUCUCGACCAUUCCAACAAAUUCAGAUUCAGGAUUCAAGAUUGAACCAAUGGCUCUAAACAAAGCUCUAAUUGAGGAAGAAAAUUGGGCCUGGGUCUAUAUUUCUGGCCCUACAAUUAACCCUUCUGGUUUCCUGUACAGUGACAAGGAGAUACGACAUCUGCUUUCUAUUUGUGCUAUGCAUGGAGCUAGGGUAGUGAUAGAUACCUCCUUCUCUGGUCUGGAGUUCCAAACCGACCGCUGGGCUUGGAGGAAUUUGGAAAGAUUUUCUUAUAAUGUUUGCUUAGAUCCCCCAUUCACAGCUUUUAUGCUCGGAGAGCUGUCCCUUGGGCUGACUGCGACUGGCCUUGAUUUCGGGUUUCUAAUUUUCAAUGACCUGUCCGUCGUUGAACAUAAUCUCGCAAACUUGAGUCAGCCAGAUAGCACAUUGAAGUACACUUUCAGAAAGCUAUUGGGUCUUAAGAACAAGAGGGAUCAACACUUCUCUAAUCUCAUCAUGGAGCAAAAGGAGACACUGAAAAAUCGUGCCAACCACUUGGCAAAGACACUUGUGAGCUGUGGCUGGGAUGUUCCUGGCUGUCAUGGUGGUAUCUCAAUGCUGGCGAAACCGACAGCCUACGUUGGCAAAUCAUUUUUUUUUGAAACGGAGGCAAAAGUAUUGCCUCAUUCAUUAAUUAAGAGAAGAGAGUUGCCCAGCACGCUCGAUGGUUGCAACAUCAGGGAAGCCAUUCUUAGAUCCACUGGACUGUGUAUAAGCAGUAGUAAAUGGACCGGGAUACCAGACUACUGCCGGUUCAGCUUUGCUUUAGAGAGCAGCGAAUUCGAGCGGGCAAUGGGCUGCAUAACCAGGUUUCUGGGAGUCGACAUGCUCACAUGA
rnacentral:rRNA from 1 species